UGGGGAAUAUUGCACAAUGGGCGCAAGCCUGAUGCAGCCAUGCCGCGUGUAUGAAGAAGGCCUUCGGGUUGUAAAGUACUUUCAGCGAGGAGGAAGGUGUGGUAGUAAACCGCAGCAUUGACGUUACUCGCAGAAGAAGCACCGGCUAACUCCGUGCCAGCAGCCGCGGUAAUACGGAGGGUGCAAGCGUUAAUCGGAAUUACUGGGCGUAAAGCGCACGCAGGCGGUCUGUCAAGUCGGAUGUGAAAUCCCCGGGCUCAACCUGGGAACGUGCAUCCGAAACUGGCAGGCUAGAGUCUUGUAGAGGGGGGUAGAAUUCCAGGUGUAGCGGUGAAAUGCGUAGAGAUCUGGAGGAAUACCGGUGGCGAAGGCGGCCCCCUGGACAAAGACUGACGCUCAGGUGCGAAAGCGUGGGGAGCAAACA
rnacentral:rRNA from 1 species